rnacentral:rRNA from 1 species
UCCAGACUCCUACGGGAGGCAGCAGUGGGGAAUAUUGCACAAUGGGGGGAACCCUGAUGCAGCAACGCCGCGUGAGUGAAGAAGUACCUCGGUAUGUAAAGCUCUAUCAGCAGGGAAGAAGAUGACGGUACCUGACCAAGAAGCACCGGCUAAAUACGUGCCAGCAGCCGCGGUAAUACGUAUGGUGCAAGCGUUAUCCGGAUUUACUGGGUGUAAAGGGAGCGCAGGCGGCACGGCAAGUCAGAUGUGAAAGCCCGGGGCUCAACCCCGGGACUGCAUUUGAAACUGCCGCGCUAGAGUGUCGGAGAGGCAAGUGGAAUUCCUAGUGUAGCGGUGAAAUGCGUAGAUAUUAGGAGGAACACCAGUGGCGAAGGCGGCUUGCUGGACGAUGACUGACGCUGAGGCUCGAAAGCGUGGGGAGCAAACAGGAUUAGAUACCCCAGUA